CGACCCAGCGCCAUCUUGUUACAUUUGCGACGUACAUCUGAUGAUCCAGAACAUGACGAGGACGAACAGGAAAAACAAUUAGGAAUAUAAUAUUCGGCGGACAAGAUAAAAGGAGUUUCAGGCCAAACGAGCUUACAUUGAUUGUGGAGCCAUAAGAGGAGAUACCAGAGCUUCAUCCAUCGUGGAUGUUUAUCCAGAGAACUGCAUCAUGUGCCUAGAGAAAUGCAUAGAGUCCUUGCUCCCCACUAUGAUGAAUUCAUUGAGGAAGUCAGAAUGUGAUGGGAGGAUUGCUGCGCCAGGGUCAUUUUACAGAGUAUGAAAGAAGGCAAUAAAGCCACCAAUCAACAGGGAUAAAAUGGAAGCCAACUUUGCUCUGGUGAAGGCCCUUCCCAUUCUCUUUCCCCAAGUGGCACCUCCAUCAAAGAAACUGGGGUGUGCUAGUGAAGCUUUACUGCAUGUUCAGGAGUCAACAGAAGAUCCAAACGUCUUCAUCCAGAAGAGAGGCUCACGUGAACAUGAGAGUUUUGAACAUGGAAGCCCGAAAUGCAUAGACUUUCAUUUGGACGUGCGUUGCCGAGGGCAGUGAC